GACGAACGCUGGCGGCGUGCUUAACACAUGCAAGUCGAACGGACAGGCCCUGCUCUUGUGGGGUGCUCGAGUGGCGCACGGGUGAGUAACACGUGAGUAACCUGCCCUUGACUUUGGGAUAACUUCAGGAAACUGGGGCUAAUACCGGAUAGGAGCUCCUGCUGCAUGGUGGGGGUUGGUAAGUUUCGGCGGUUGGGGCUGGACUCGCGGCUUAUCCGCUUGAUGGUGGGGUAGUGGCUUUCCAAGGCUUUGACGGGUAGCCCGCCUGAGAGGGGGACCGGCGACAAGGGGACUGAGAUACGGCCCAGACUCGUACGGGAGGCAGCAGUGGGGAAUAUUGCACAGUGGGCGGAAGCCUGGGACAGCAACGCCGCGAGCGGGAAGACGGCCUUCGAGGUAUAAACCGCUGUCGCCUGUGACGAAGCGGGAGUGACGGUAAUGGGUAAAGAAGCACCGGCUAACUACGUG
rnacentral:rRNA from 1 species